rnacentral:rRNA from 2 species
AAAUUUGAAAUCUGGCGCAAGCCCGAGUUGUAAUUUGUAGAGGAUGCUUCUGGCCAGCGGCCGUUCUAAGUUCCUUGGAACAGGACGUCAUAGAGGGUGAGAAUCCCGUAUGUGACCGGCGCGCAGCCUUUACGUAGCUCCUUCGACGAGUCGAGUUGUUUGGGAAUGCAGCUCUAAAUGGGAGGUAAAUUUCUUCUAAAGCUAAAUACCGGCCAGAGACCGAUAGCGCACAAGUAGAGUGAUCGAAAGAUGAAAAGCACUUUGGAAAGAGAGUUAAAAAGCACGUGAAAUUGUUGAAAGGGAAGCGCUUGCAACCAGACUUCGUAGCGAUGUUCCGCUGGUCUUCUGACCGGUCUACUCAUCGUCGCGAGGCCAACAUCGUCUGGGCCCGCUGGAUAAGACCUAAGGAAUGUAGCUUCCCUCGGGAAGUGUUAUAGCCUGUGGUGAUGCAGCGUGGCUCGGGCGAGGUCCGCGCUUCGGCAAGGAUGUUGGCGUAAUGGUUGUCAGCGGCCCGUCUUGAAACACGGACCAAGGAGUCUAACAUCUAUGCGAGUGUUCGGGUGUCAAACCCCUACGCGUAAUGAAAGUGAACGGAGGUGGGAAGCGCAAGCUGCACCAUCGACCGAUCCUGAUGUCCUCGGAUGGAUUUGAGUAAGAGCAUAGCUGUUGGGACCCGAAAGAUGGUGAACUAUGCCUGAAUAGGGUGAAGCCAGAGGAAACUCUGG